GGGCCUGUAGCUCAGUUGGUUAGAGCAGGGGACUCAUAAUCCCUUGGUCGUAGGUGCGAGUCCUACCGGGCCCA
rnacentral:tRNA from 1 species